CUGGCAAAUCUGACCGGCGCAAGGACUUCGUACCGAGUAAUCUAUUACAAUAACGACUCUAUGAUACUGGCUGAUAGAGUCCCAGGUGUGUGGGACCAAGCAUUGUGUUCACUCUGGACGACCGAAAAUUAUUUUAGGAAAAGUGAAAGAGACCUACCUGCAUCAACAAAAGCUUAUUACCGGUCGAACUGCGAAGAUCCUAAAUACGUUCCCUUUCCUACCUCCUGUUGGACUUGAUCUGAUAAAGAAGAAAAAACGUAUUGUUUGAAAUAUUCA